GAAGAGACACCACGACUAAGGCAACUUAUAAAAGGAAGCAUAUAUUGGGGGCUUGCUUACAGUUUCAGAGGGUGAGUCCAUGGCCAUCAUGUCAUGGAGCAAAGUAGCAGGUUGCAUCUCCCUCCAACAGUAGCAUCUGAGAAGGAAUUUCUAGGGAAUGUAUUCUGCCUGACCAUCAAGUUAUACAAUGUACCACUGCCACCAGCCUUAUCAUAGAACGCAAACUUCAGUGACUGAAAGGACAAUCACUGGCUAUAAUAGAAAAGAGAGGCUGGCUACAUGCCUAUCAUACUAUGCUGGGCUGAAAUAUAGACCAACCUUGUUUCUAUGUGAAAAGACAUCACACAGAAUAGAAUGAGUACCUGCUUUAAAACUUCAUGGUAUUAGUUUUUGAGACAAGAGCCUCCCGGCAUUUUGUCUUACAACUGCAGCUGACAGACAUGAUGUCUCCAAAUGGAGCUGUGCUUCCCUCCAUUUAUGGACUUCGCAGCCUGUUUAACUGCUCUACAUACCUGUUCUUACGUCAAUGGCGGACUGCUUUUAAGAAACAGAAAAUUAUUCCAGAGUAGAUUUUUCCAUUCUAAAAUGUCUAAUUACUAACGUCAGUCUAGAUACAGCAUUUCCUGUACAAACGUGUGCCAGAGUGAGGUGAAGUCAAAGAAGAUUGUUCACCGCUUCAGGGCCUAAGAUUAUUUCCACUGUGGAAAGAUAACCUUGGAGACAAUGGACAAAGAAAGGCAUGGAAUUAAACUACUUUAUCAGUAACCAAGGUAACUACAAAAUACCCUUAAAGUAAUAAUUUCUAUUUUUCUUCCAUGUUCCAAAAAGUGACAAACUAAAAGAAUAUAAACCGAUAUCACAAGGGCCUACUUACGGAUUCCUCAGAACAGUACAAAUAAUACUUAUGUCCAUGUCAUAUGCGGGCAAAUAUGACUCUGUACAGCAACACAGGUCUGAUGGAGCUAGAACAAGAACCCAGGUCUCCUGGUAGCCAAUGAAAGCCCAAAUGAUAUUCAUAUUAUGGAAUUUAUAUACUUAUAUGGAUUGCAUUCAAAUAUUUGAGUAUUAAAAUAAUAAUCUGCAUUGUUCCUGACUUUAAGCUGUUCAUUAUGUACACCUCAAUAUAGCCAUCAAAAAACCUGUAAGAUCUAAGUGCCCUACAGUCUUUAAUAAAUCCUAUUUUAAUGUAAUUUUUUUCAAUUAUUUU